rnacentral:rRNA from 1 species
AUUGAACGCUGGCGGCAUGCCUUACACAUGCAAGUCGAACGGCAGCGGACCUUCGGGUGCCGGCGAGUGGCGAACGGGUGAGUAAUAUAUCGGAACGUACCUUUCAGUGGGGGAUAACGUAGCGAAAGUUACGCUAAUACCGCAUAUUCUGUGAGCAGGAAAGCAGGGGAUCGCAAGACCUUGCGCUGAUUGAGCGGCCGAUAUCAGAUUAGCUAGUUGGUGAGGUAAAGGCUCACCAAGGCGACGAUCUGUAGCGGGUCUGAGAGGAUGAUCCGCCACACUGGAACUGAGACACGGUCCAGACUCCUACGGGAGGCAGCAGUGGGGAAUUUUGGACAAUGGGCGCAAGCCUGAUCCAGCCGUGCCGCGUGAGUGAAGAAGGCCUCGGUUG